rnacentral:tRNA from 1 species
UUUAGGGAGACCUACCCACUCAGAUAUCGAACACAAUCAGUCAUUAGRUAUUGAGUUGGUCAUCCUAAGGUCGGUCGCAGAUAGUAUUUAUGGCUUUCAAACUAUGAUUGGUUCGUUUAGGGGCUAUURGCUCAGGUGGUUAGAGCGCACCCCUGAUAAGGGUGAGGUCCCUGGUUCGAGUCCAGGAUGGCCCACCUGAAUCAAUGCAAAAUUAAAAAUGCAAAAUUCAAAAUAGAAGAAACCUUUUUGAAUUUUGCAUUUUGAAAUUUGAAUUGUGUGGGGGGGUUUAGCUCAGUUGGUAGAGCGCCUGCUUUGCAAGCAGGAUGUCAGCGGUUCGAGUCCGCUAACCUCCACCUAGUGUGACAGUUGCCAAAGUGAAUAAACACAGCUAGAAAUAGUAAAAAAGUGUUAAUAUAACUUUUGUGGCGGUGAACAGUGUAUGGUAGAGUAAUAGAUUGGGAACAAUUCAGCAACAUGGUGAUUAGCCAGACUGCUGGGAUUGAAACCAGCCAGAACCUUGAAAACUGCAUAGUGACGCGAAAAGAAAAUGCAGGCAGACACAGACAUUGUCAAGAUGUUGGUGAAUGCUCGAAAAGUGAAACACCAAAAUGUUUGAGU